GUUGGUACAUUAUUAAAAGCCAUGGGCCCUGACAUCACACAUGAUGAUUAUAAUGUGAAGAGACGAGACUGAGACUAUAAAGAAAGACCAGGAGUGAGCUAACUUGAAUGAUACCAAGGAAGAUGAUAUAAUAUGAAGUAUAUCCUCAUCUGGUAAAGACAGACAGAACUCUGAAGUGGAAAGAGCACUUGUCAAGAUAUCAGGAGAUGACGGCUUUGUGAGUUCUGUCACUAACCAGUGUAUGUUCUUGACCAAAUAAUUUUACCUCUCUCAACCUUGGUUGCUCCAUCCACCAAACGAUAGCGAUCUGAAUUCGUCAGCUUCUUUUCUAUUAUGACACUUGAUUACUUCAUCACCAGAAGCUGAGCUCCCAGCUUGAGUAUGCAACAUGUCUGGACAUGUUUGGCUAAUUACUGUGGCAGCCAGCCUGCUGGCCAUUGCAGAAUGACCCAGAUGCUUCCUGAGAGAACUCAGGUUUAAGGAAGAGAAAACCAAACUCCAGGAGUCUGACAGCAACAAAGCCUUAGUUGACAGAAAGGUAGUUAUUUUGGAUGCAUAAGUGUUUAUUAUUCUUA
rnacentral:lncRNA from 1 species